ensembl:lncRNA
UGACAGAGGUGACAGAGGUGACACGGAGGUGACAUGGAGGUGACAGAGGUGACGCGGAGGUGGCAGUGUGGCGGCACUGAGGUGACACAGAGGUGACGCGGAGGUGACACUGAGGUGACACAGAGGUGACAUUGAGGUGACACAGAGGUGACACAGAGGUGACACGGAGGUGACAGUGAGGUGACAGAGGUGACAGAGGUGACCCGGAGGUGACGCGGAGGUUACACAGAAGUGACACAGAGGUGACAGAGGUGACAGAGGUGACACAGAGGUGACAGAGGUGACAGUGAGGUGACACAGAGGUGACACAGAGGUGGCACUGAGGUGACGCGGAGGUGACACUGAGGUGACAGAGGUGACCCGGAGGUGACACGGAGGUGACGCGGAGGUGGCAGUGUGGUGGCACUGAGGUGACCCGGAGGUGACACAGAGGUGACAGAGGUGACCCGGAGGUGACGCGGAGGUUACACAGAAGUGACACAGAGGUGACAGAGGUGACAGAG